GGGCGCGUAGCUCAAUGGUAGAGCAGCGGCCUUUUAAGCCGUUGGUUCAGGGUUCGAUCCCCUGCGCGCUCA
rnacentral:tRNA from 1 species